CAGCAGCCGCGGUAAUACAGAGGAUGCAAGCGUUAUCUGGAAUGAUUGGGCGUAAAGCGUCUGUAGGUGGCUUUUCAAGUCCGCCGUCAAAUCCCAGGGCUCAACCCUGGACAGGCGGUGGAAACUACCAAGCUGGAGUACGGUAGGGGCAGAGGGAAUUUCCGGUGUAGCGGUGAAAUGCGUAGAUAUCGGAAGGAACACCAGUGGCGAAGGCGGCUUUUUGGCCUGUAACUGACACUGAGGCGCGAAAGCGUGGGGAGCAAACAGGAUUAGAUACCCCAGUAGUCCCUGUCUCUUAUAC
rnacentral:rRNA from 1 species